GGGCCCGCACAAGCGGUGGAGCAUGUGGUUUAAUUCGAUGAUACGCGAGGAACCUUACCAGGGCUUAAAUGUAAGUUGCAUAGAUCAGAGAUGGUCUUUUCUUCGGACUACUUACAAGGUGCUGCAUGGUUGUCGUCAGCUCGUGCCGUGAGGUGUCAGGUUAAGUCCUAUAACGAGCGCAACCCCUGUCGUUAGUUACCAGCAAGUAAUGUUGGGUACUCUAGCGAGACUGCCGGUGCAAACCGUGAGGAAGGUGGGGAUGACGUCAAAUCAUCACGGCCCUUACGUCCUGGCUACACACGUGCUACAAUGGCUGGUAUAAUGGGACGCCAAACCGCGAGGUGGAGCAAA
rnacentral:rRNA from 1 species